rfam:Rhizobium sp. Leaf306 contig_3, whole genome shotgun sequence.
AGUCAAGAGUCUUUGGCACCGUUUCGGUGAGCGGCUUUCUUUUGCCUGAAAAAAGGUGAGAGAAAAUG